CGUAGCCACGGGAAAACCAGCACCUCGAGUGGUCAGGAGGUUUAUUGGGCCUAAAGCAUCCGUAGCCGGUUGCAUAAGUUUUCGGUUAAAUCUAUGCGCUUAACGUAUAGGCCGCCGAAAAUACUGUGCAGCUAGGGAGUGGGAGAGGUACACGGUACUCGAUAGGAAGGGGUAAAAUCCUUUGAUCUAUUGAUGACCACCUGUGGCGAAGGCGGUGUACCAGAACACGUUCGACGGUGAGGGAUGAAAGCUGGGGGAGCAAACCGGAUUAGAUACCCCUGUAGUCCCUGUCUCUUAUACA
rnacentral:rRNA from 1 species